CCUAGGAACCCCUCCCAGCCUCCUCCUUCCCUCGGCUGCGAGCUUGAGACGCAGGCUCCACGCUCGGAGGCCACGCAGGAGACUCGGAUUGGGAGAGACUUCCUUCUCCCCGAGGGCAAGGACCACAUCUCAGACUUCUGCACCCCAGCAGUGCUGCCUUACAAAGUACCGGGCCUACCUUAGAAAUUGACAGGAUGACCAGGUGAAGAGAAUGUGAUUCAAGGAAGCCGUCCAAGAGCAGCGGCACAUGUGAACCCAGGAUUCCGAAUCCCAAGCUCUUCUCACAAAGCCACACUACCUCUUCUUUCGUUAAAGCGAUCCUUUGCUACGAGGAAUAACCUCAAAGAGAGAAAAGCUUUGAAAUAAAACUCACUACUUAUUUGUAAGUUUAGAAUUGGCAGAGGAUUUUUUUCUUUUCUCUUUUCUCUCAGGCAC